rnacentral:rRNA from 1 species
GUCGAGAAUUUUUCACAAUGGGCGAAAGCCUGAUGGAGCGACGCCGCGUGGGGGAUGAAUGGCUUCGGCCCGUAAACCCCUGUCAUUUGCGAUCAAACCUCAUUAUUUAAAAGAUGAUGAGCUGAUAGUAGCGAAAGAGGAAGGGACGGCUAACUCUGUGCCAGCAGCCGCGGUAAUACAGAGGUCCCAAGCGUUGUUCGGAUUCACUGGGCGUAAAGGGUGCGUAGGUGGCGAGGUAAGUCGGAUGUGAAAGCUCGGAGCUCAACUCCGAAAUGGCAUUGGAAACUACCUUGCUCGAGGGUUGGAGGGGGGACUGGAAUUCUCGGUGUAGCAGUGAAAUGCGUAGAUAUCGAGAGGAACACCAGUGGCGAAGGCGAGUCCCUGGACAACUCCUGACACUGAGGCACGAAAGCUAGGGGAGCAAACAGGAUUAGAUACCCUUGUAGUCC